rnacentral:rRNA from 1 species
AUUGAACGCUGGCGGCAGGCCUAACACAUGCAAGUCGAACGAGUGGCGGACGGGUGAGUAAUGUCUGGGAAACUGCCCGAUGGAGGGGGAUAACUACUGGAAACGGUAGCUAAUACCGCAUACCAUCGGAUGUGCCCAGAUGGGAUUAGCUUGUAGGUGAGGUAACGGCUCACCUAGGCGACGAUCCCUAGCUGGGCUGAGAGGAUGACCAGCCACACGGGAACUGAGACGCGGUCCAGACUCCUACGGAAGGCAGCAGUGGGGAAUAUGGCACAAGGGGCGCAAGCCUGAUGCAGCCAGGCCGCGUGUAUGAAGAAGGCCUUCGGGUUUGAAAGUACUUUCAGCGGGGCGGCGGUACCCGCAGAAGAAGCACCGGCUAACUCCGUGCCAGCAGCCGCGGUAAUUC